CAAAAGCCGAAGAAUGGCCCUGGCCCGUGGGUGGAGAAACUGAGGAGAGUUGGCGGACAUUACAAUGGCUCUCUCUGUCUCUCUAAUCCAAACGUGUAGCUAAACUAACCAAAACUACUCUCGCUUAUAAGUUCAUCUCCUCUUUUCCUCGCACAAAAAUCUUUUGUUUCUCCCGGUUAUCGCCUCCUCCUCUCCCAUGGAGUCCUCUGUUGCUCUCCAAUCCUUUCACUGUAAUGCUCUUGCUUCCCUCUCUGUCUGUGUUCUGUGUGUAAAUUUUGCUGAGAUCUGUUAUGUUUUGGUGAUUUUGAUUCCUUCUGCUUCUGCUCCAGGUAAGUUGUACGGCCAGCGCUUGACUGUUUGCCGGAAAUUCAUUUCUUAUCCGGUGAAGCGAAAUGUAUCCGUCGUCUCGUGUGUAAGGGCGCCUGAAGCUGCUGCUGCAACGGCCAAAUCUGAUGGUGAGUUAGUUAGUUAGUUUGUUUGUUUUGCUGGUGCUUGUGGUUAGUGAAGCUAGAUUUGAGGUUAUUAAGCUUUACGGUUGUGUGGAUGGAAAUGAUGAGGUAGUUUCUUCUUCAGCUGGUGCGUUGGAGAAGAAUUCUUCGCGAAGUGCUACUUUUCCUAAUGGAUUUGAAGUGAGUGCUCGUCUUUUUAGACGUUUUGAAGUCUGCCUGAUACUUAUAUAGAAUCUUUUAGUAGUAAAUUUUAUGUUGUUGCAACUGGAAAUUUUUAGCGUUUGCUGGUUUUAUGCAUAGCAGCAUCAAUGCAAGUUGUUGAAAUUUUAUUGACUCCAGAAUCUCUGUGUAUUGCUGUUGAGUGUUUCAGGCUCUUCAUCCUAAAAUUAUUGUAAAUGCCGAUUAUUUGGGUUUAGCAAGAAUUUGAAAUUCGCCAUUGGAUUGGGAAUUCCCAUUUGUAGUUUGUGAAAUAUGUGCUUAUCUAUUACAUAAUAGUUUGUUCAGAUUGUUAAGGUUAUGGUGGACUGAGUCCUGACGACUAAACUUGGGAAACAUAACAUAUUAUCAUGUCAACUAAUGAAUUCCUGUAAUGAUGACCCAAGAAUGCAUGAUAUUAACAAUAAUUUUACCCUGUUAAGAAACUAUGUCCUAGCAAACAAAUCAGCGUUCCAAAUUUGGACAUUUUGAUUAUCAUUAUUAUCAUUUUUAUAUUUAAAUAUCAAACUAGAGCAACUAACUUUGAGGUUUCUUAGAAACAGAGAGAACCUGAGGGAUGAGGGUGGUGCAUGAAAUGAUUUCUGCAACGACGGUUUGAAAGUUUGUCUUGUUUAUUAUGCUAAUAAUUUGCCCCCUUUCCUUGAGAUUGCUUUGUUUCAACUCUUUAUUUUAGUUGUUUGACAUUGAUUACUGUCAUUUCAUUUUGAUUAUUGCUUACUCUGAUUUGAAACAUAUCAACCUUGCUAACUGUUUCCAAAUCAUCAGGCAUUGGUACUCGAGGUCUGUGAUGAGACGGAGGUUGCUGAACUGAAACUCAAGGUUGGGGAUUUUGAAAUGCAUUUGCGCCGCAAUGUUGGGGCUACAAAAGCUCCCAUGUCCAACAUUUCACCUACAGAACCACCACCGAUCCCAACUAAGCCAAUGGAUAUAUCAGCUUCUGUUGCCCCACCAUCACCACCCAAAACCUCUACUGAAAAAACCACUCCUUUUACAAAUGUCUCAUUUGGGAAGUCAUCCAAAUUAGCUGCCUUAGAGGCGUCUGGAGCUACUGGAUAUGUUCUAGUUGCUUCUCCGACGGUUGGCUCAUUCCGAAGAAACAGAACAGUGAAAGGAAAAAGGCAACCUCCCAUCUUUAAAGAGGGUGAUAUAAUUAAAGAAGGACAGGUGAUAGGAUAUUUGGAUCAAUUUGGUACUGAACUUCCUGUAAAGUCAGAUGUGGCUGGAGAAGUCUUAAAGCUCCUCUUCAAUGAUGGAGAUGCUGUUGGUUAUGGAGACCCUCUUAUUGCUGUCUUGCCAUCGUUUCAUGGCAUCAACACGUGAGCUUUCUGCCUGUCUCCAGAUCUUGACUCUGUUCUUGGAAAGAUCUGAAGUAAUGCAGAUUGUUUUCCCUAUAGUUCUUUUGGUCUUUCCAUCCUCUACUCACUGAUUGUGCAAUUGGAAGACAUACAUUUUGUGGUGAUUGCUACUUUGGCUUUGUUUGUUAGUUUUAUUGACUAUAUCUGGAAAAAUAAUUGUUUAAACAUUGUAGUUUGGGGAAAGUUUGAUAUUUGUACUAGAUAUUAUCUUUGUAUACUAGUGAAGCUAUAGAUAUCUGUUCCUUGUUGGGGCAAAUUGUAUUUCUGAAAAACCGUUAGUGUUCGUUGAAAUGAACAUUUGGGUCAUUUCUGACGAUUCAAUUUAUG
rnacentral:misc_RNA from 1 species